UCUAAGAACUCAUCUAGAUGCUUGUAAGGAUCUUCAUUGGUAUUCCCAUAGAAAGAUGGGAGCAUCUAGAUUAUGGUCGACUUGAUCUCAUAAUGGCUUGUAGAGAUAUCUGAUAGGUAGAUACAAGUCAAUGGGUUAUAGGUAGAAGGAAUAAAAUAUUCCUUCAUUUGCCUGGGUGGUUCUCUAGGGUCUCCAGCCAUUUGAUUUUCGGGUUGAGCGUGAAUCAGCCGUUCAAUUUCAGGAUUAGGUUCAAUU
rnacentral:lncRNA from 1 species